rnacentral:rRNA from 1 species
GACGAACGCUGGCGGCGUGCUUAACACAUGCAAGUCGAACGGAAAGGCCCUGCUUUUGUGGGGUGCUCGAGUGGCGAACGGGUGAGUAACACGUGAGUAACCUGCCCUUGACUUUGGGAUAACUUCAGGAAACUGGGGCUAAUACCGGAUAGGAGCUCCUGCUGCAUGGUGGGGGUUGGAAAGUUUCGGCGGUUGGGGAUGGACUCGCGGCUUAUCAGCUUGUUGGUGGGGUAGUGGCUUACCAAGGCUUUGACGGGUAGCCGGCCUGAGAGGGUGACCGGCCACAUUGGGACUGAGAUACGGCCCAGACUCCUACGGGAGGCAGCAGUGGGGAAUAUUGCACAAUGGGCGGAAGCCUGAUGCAGCAACGCCGCGUGCGGGAUGACGGCCUUCGGGUUGUAAACCGCUUUCGCCUGUGACGAAGCGUGAGUGACGGUAAUGGGUAGAGAAGCACCGGCUAACUACG